UAAAAGGCCCAUCUAGGGUUUUACACGCCUCUUUCUCUCUCUCCUCUCUUCAUCUCAUCAGUUUCACAUGCCGCCUCUCACCCUCUCCGUCUCUCUUCCUCUAAGCCUCUCAUCCUUUCAUCAGUUUCAUGUUGUCCGACAAGAAAUCAACGACGCACUAUCUUCGUUGUUCUCGGCCCUAUCUUAUGCUUUCUUUAUCUAUCUUUUCCCUCUUUGUGGUGGUGGUGUUUCUCGCGCCGGCGAACAACAUGCUUGUUUUGGAGAUCUAGUGUUGACGGAGGUUUUAGUUGACGAAGAUUAUCCAUGAUAUUUCUUUCAUGGAUUUCUUGAUGUGGUGUGCUGUUUCUUUCGUGGAUUUGCGGUAAUUAAUAUUGAUAAAGGUCAUACAAUCUGCUUACAAUAUGAAUCAAGCAAUAAACAUGAGAAGAAACAAGGUGUCUGUAAUUUGUACAAGUGGUGCAUUUGUGUCACUAGGCAUGUGGACCUCUUUGUUCUUUUGCCACCAUAUCGAGCAAUAGGAUUUCGUGGAUCAUUGACGCAAACAGCAAAUCGUUAAUAGUUUUGUGGAUCAUUGCUGCUGCUACGUCCAAGCAAGAUCUGUUGGCAGAUUUUUUCGUUCAGAUAUGAUUGUUGUUGUUAUAACUUAUAAAUUUAAAAUAUAAAUUGGUUUUUUGUAAUUGUUGUUGUUAUAAUUUAUAUAAGUUUUGUUAUAAGAUUUUCA